GACGAACGCUGGCGGCGUGCUUAACACAUGCAAGUCGAACGGAAAGGCCCUGCUUUUGUGGGGUGCUCGAGUGGCGAACGGGUGAGUAACACGUGAGUAACCUGCCCUUGACUUUGGGAUAACUUCAGGAAACUGGGGCUAAUACCGGAUAGGAGCUCCUGCUGCAUGGUGGGGGUUGGAAAGUUUCGGCGGUUGGGGAUGGACUCGCGGCUUAUCAGCUUGUUGGUUGGGUAGUGGCUUACCAAGGCUUUGACGGGUAGCCGGCCUGAGAGGGUGACCGGCCACAUUGGGACUGAGAUACGGACCAGAGUCCUACGGGAGGCAGCAGUGGGGAAUAUUGCACAAUGGGCGGAAGCCUGAUGCAGCAACGCCGCGUGCGGGAUGACGGCCUUCGGGUUGUAAACCGCUUUCGCCUGUGACGAAGCGUGAGUGAAGGUAAUGGGUAAAGAAGCACCGGCUAACUACGUG
rnacentral:rRNA from 1 species